rnacentral:rRNA from 1 species
AGAGCGAACGCUGGCGGCAGGCUUAACACAUGCAAGUCGAGCGGGCACUUCGGUGUCAGCGGCAGACGGGUGAGUAACGCGUGGGAACAUACCUUUUGGUUCGGAACAACACAGGGAAACUUGUGCUAAUACCGGAUAAGCCCUUACGGGGAAAGAUUUAUCGCCGAAAGAUUGGCCCGCGUCUGAUUAGCUUGUUGGUGAGGUAACGGCUCACCAAGGCGACGAUCAGUAGCUGGUCUGAGAGGAUGAUCAGCCACAUUGGGACUGAGACACGGCCCAAACUCCUACGGGAGGCAGCAGUGGGAAUAUUGGACAAUGGGGGCAACCCUGAUCCAGCCAUGCCGCGUGAGUGAUGGAAGGCCCUAGGGUUGUAAAAGCUCGUUUUAACGGGGAAGAUAAGUGAACGGUACCCGUAGAAUAAAGCCCCGGACUACUUCGCGCCAGCAGCCGC